rnacentral:rRNA from 1 species
UACGUAGGUGGCAAGCGUUGUCCGGAUUUACUGGGCGUAAAGGGAGCGUAGGCGGACUUUUAAGUGAGAUGUGAAAUACUCGGGCUCAACUUGAGUGCUGCAUUUCAAACUGGAAGUCUAGAGUGCAGGAGAGGAGAAUGGAAUUCCUAGUGUAGCGGUGAAAUGCGUAGAGAUUAGGAAGAACACCAGUGGCGAAGGCGAUUCUCUGGACUGUAACUGACGCUGAGGCUCGAAAGCGUGGGGAGCAAACAGG